CGCAGGAUCUGAGCCACAUCUGCGACCUACACCACAGCUCCGCAACCUCACGGUUCCUAAUCGGAUUGUUAACCACUGCGCCACGACGGGAACUCCUAAAAUCCAAGAUGUUGAUCAGACUGACGAAAGGCUAACCAAAACCAGGUAGACCUCUAAAAUGCUGUUGUUUUGUGAUCGAUUUAAUGAGGAAAAAUUGGAAACUAUUUCCUGGGCCUUAUUUUUGUCCUCUUUAGGAGGAGGAACUGUCUAUAACAGUAACUGAUAAGGAUAUUGGCUGGCUGGCCACGUGUCUUUUCUGAAAUUUAAGGAUUGAGAACGUCAGUCUGAAGACAGGAGGUGCCACCCCGCACUUCAUUUUCUCCCUCGUGUUCCUAAUUUGCUGUCUGCUGUAAUGACAGAGUUUAGAGCCACCCUGGCACCUGCUGUCUCUGGUUUCUAAACUGCAGAAGUUGGCCUAUAGAGUGACCCCAGGCUCUUUCACCAGACCAGCCUGGACCUUGCUCUCCACUUCUCACCAGACAUGGCUGGGUGUGCCCCCGUCUCCCUGCACAGGGCAGGUGCACCAGGCCCCACUCACAAACGUGGUGGACCCAAGGGGAUUCCCAAGGGACUGUUCUCUUUCAGAGUCAAUUCCUCAGAUGCCUCACCUCCCCUACCCCUGGGGUCACUGGGUGGUACCUUAGCUGUCUUAAGGAAGGAGUUUUCUGAUCUGAAUGGGGGGGCCAGGUGAGCCCCCGAAAGGCACACCGUUCAAGGGCCCAGACACAUGAGGACUCACCACCCUCGCCAUCAGCAGCUUCAAGAUUGAUCCAGAAGGAACUCCAGGAAAGAGGGAAGGAGGACAGAUGUGGAAGCUGAGGCCCAAGUGUAGGAGAGGAGCCUCCAGGAACAGCUGAUGUUGCCACAAUCUGGACCUCUCCAGAGCCUGAUGUCAUGUACAAGCUCACAAACCAGCAGAUAUGUGUGAACGGGGUGCUGUCCCAGGGAUGUCACCAGUCCACCCGCUGACAACCUUGGCUGGAGUCUUCAGUCAAAACAUAGGGUGUGGGAGGGGGGUUGGGGGGGAAGGACAGCAGGCAGAGGAGGGGCCCACAUCCUGCCACCUGGAGGUCCCCCCUGCCCUCCCUCAGGGUGGGGGCCAUGUGCCAAGCCAGCUGGGGCUGGAGUCAUGUGUGGUGCAAGAGGGUUGGUGCCAUGGCUCCUGGCUGGCUGGAAGUCUGGUCCCUGGGCACGUGGACAACCUUUGCUGUCUCUUGGCUUGGAAUAGCCUCCAUCUGUGUUUCUUCACGGCCUCUGAGAAAAGCCUGAGCUUCUGCUCACUGUGCUGCUGCCGUGGAUGUCCAUCUGUUACCAUACUGGCUGGGACAAAUUUCCGGUCAGCAGCAAGGCUGAUGCAAAAAAUGAAGGAAAAGGUCUGGGCCACCCUGGUUUCAUAUUUUGAAAAAACAUCAUGCAGUGUCUGUGCAGCAGUGUUCACAACUCCCCCAAGGGAGAAGCAACCCAAGCCAGUGGAAUAUUAUUCAGCCCUAAAAAAGGUAGGAAUCUAGAGGACGUCCUGGUCAGUGAAUCAGACCAGACACAAAUGGGACCCCAUUUAUAUGAAGGACCUAGAGCAGUCAAAUUCAUGGCGACAGAAAGAUGGUGGGGGCCAGGGACAGGGGAAGGGGAUUAUCGUUUAAAGGGUAUAGACCAGCUAUUCUUCAAUACAUUUUUUUUAAUUAAAAAAGAAUAAAGGUUAUGGAGAUUCUGUUUUGCAAGAGGAAACUGUUCUGGAGAUCUGUUGCACAGCAGUGUGAAUAUACUUAACACCACUGGAUGGUUUGCUUAUUAAAAUGGUUAGAUGAUAAAUUCUAUGGCACGUGUUUUUUACCAAAAAUAAAAAUGUUUUACAGUUAUUUUUAAACAUA